rnacentral:tRNA from 2 species
GAACCUGUAGCUCAGUUGGUAGAGCAACGGACUUUUAAUCCGUGGGUCGUGGGUUCGAGCCCCGCCAGGUUCAC